rnacentral:rRNA from 1 species
ACAACCUCUUAACAGGGGGAUAACACUGAGAAAUUGGUACUAAUACCCCAUAAUAUCAUAGAAGGCAUCUUUUAUGGUUGAAAAUUCCGAUGGUUAGAGAUGGGCAUGCGUUGUAUUAGCUAGUUGGUGGGGUAACGGCUCACCAAGGCGACGAUACAUAGGGGGACUGAGAGGUUAACCCCCACACUGGUACUGAGACACGGACCAG